rnacentral:rRNA from 1 species
UUGCAUUUCAAAAAAGCGGAGGAAAAGAAACUAACAAGGAUUCCCCUAGUAGCGGCGAGCGAAGCGGGAAGAGCUCAAAUUUAUAAUCUGGCACCUUCGGUGUCCGAGUUGUAAUCUCUAGAAGUGUUUUCCGCGUUGGACCGCACACAAGUCUGUUGGAAUACAGCGGCAUAGUGGUGAAACCCCCGUAUAUGGUGCGGACGCCCAGCGCUUUGUGAUACACUUUCAAUGAGUCGAGUUGUUUGGGAAUGCAGCUCAAAUUGGGUGGUAAAUUCCAUCUAAAGCUAAAUAUUGGCGAGAGACCGAUAGCGAACAAGUACCGUGAGGGAAAGAUGAAAAGCACUUUGGAAAGAGAGUUAACAGUACGUGAAAUUGUUGGAAGGGAAACGCUUGAAGUCAGACUUGCUUGCCGGAGCUUGCUUCGGUUUGCAGGCCAGCAUCAGUUUUCCGGGGUGGAUAAUGACGGUUUGAAGGUAGCAGUCUCGGCUGUGUUAUAGCUUUCCGUUGGAUACGCCCUGGGGGACUGAGGAACGCAGCGUGCUUUUUGCGAAAGACUCGUCUUUUUCACGCUUAGGAUGCUGGUGGAAUGGCUUUAAACGAUCCGUCUUGAACCACCGGACCCA